AGUGAACGCUGGCGGUAGGCCUAACACAUGCAAGUCGAACGGCAGCACAGUAAGAGCUCGCUCUUACGGGUGGCGAGUGGCGGACGGGUGAGGAAUACAUCGGAAUCUACUUUUUCGUGGGGGAUAACGUAGGGAAACUUACGCUAAUACCGCAUACGACCUACGGGUGAAAGCAGGGGAUCUUCGGACCUUGCGCGAUUGAAUGAGCCGAUGUCGGAUUAGCUAGUUGGCGGGGUAAAGGCCCACCCAGGCGACGAUCCGUAGCUGGUCUGAGAGGAUGAUCAGCCACACUGGAACGGAGACACGGUCCAGACUCCUACGGGAGGCAGCAGUGGGGAAUAUUGGACAAUGGGCGCAAGCCUGAUCCAGCCAUACCGCGUGGGUGAAGAAGGCCUUCGGGUUGUAAAGCCCUUUUGUUGGGAAAGAAAAGCAGCAGGUUAAUACCCCGCUGUUCUGACGGUACCCAAAGAAUAAGCACCGGCUAACUUCGUG
rnacentral:rRNA from 1 species